UAGCUCACACAUUCUGCUGAAUAUGCCCAUGGGUAUCAUCGGGCAUAUGGUAAUCGUUAGAUGCAUAUUCAAGACCCUGAUCCGACACGCCUGCACAUACAUAUGUCAGGCGAACAGAGGAGGAAACAUAUAUCACCGGAGCGUUGGUAAUGCCCAAUUUAAAUAGAGAAGAGCAAACAGACAUUUGAUUGCGUAGAAGAGGAGCAUUAGGCGGCGGCAGUCCCCCCCCCCCCCUCCUCCUGCUGCCAUUUCCCAUCUAUAGAAAUGGAAGAAAAAAAGAAUGAGAGUCGAGUGGAACACACACCCCACGUGAAAUCAAAACCCACUUGCAGUUGCCAGUUGCCAGCUGCCAGCUGCUGUGUCUUCAGCUUCUGCUGAUGACGCUGAUGGAGGAACUUUGCUGCAGCGUUUGAGUUCCGAGUUGCACGUUGGUGUUGCGAGUGGGCGGGGCAGAGGGGCGUUUCGGAGUCACACGUAUAGAAAGAUAUGGGGGGAAUCCGCCUGAUGAGGCGGAAGUGAAAGCGACCAAGCAGAAUUAAACCGCUUCCUCCCUUUUAUCCCAAUCUCCCAGCUUGAGCUUUUGUUUGCCAGACAAGCAACCAUCAUACGUGGAUACUCUUGUAACUCUUUGUAAUGAGUUU
ensembl:ncRNA lncRNA:CR45897 long non-coding RNA:CR45897